AUUGAACGCUGGCGGCGUGCUUUACACAUGCAAGUCGGACGAGUGGCGAACGGGUGAGUAACGCAUCGGAACGUACCGGGUAGUGGGGGAUAACUGUCCGAAAGGAUAGCUAAUACCGCAUACUAUUCGAGCGGCCGAUGUCUGAUUAGCUGGUUGGUGGGGUAAAGGCCCACCAAGGCGACGAUCCGUAGCGGGUCUGAGAGGAUGACCCGCCACACUGGAACUGAGACACGGCCCAGACUCCUACGGGAGGCAGCAGUGGGGAAUUUUGCACAAUGGGCGCAAGCCUGAUGCAGCCAUGCCGCGUGUCUGAAGAAGGCCUUCGGGUUGUAAAGGACUUUUGGCGGGGAAGCGGUACCUGAAGAAUAAGCACCGGCUAACUACGUGCCAGCAGCCGCGGUAAUUC
rnacentral:rRNA from 1 species